rnacentral:rRNA from 1 species
ACAGAAGAAGCACCGGCUAACUCCGUGCCAGCAGCCGCGGUAAUACGGAGGGUGCGAGCGUUAAUCGGAAUUACUGGGCGUAAAGCGUACGCAGGCGGUUUGUUAAGCGAGAUGUGAAAGCCCCGGGCUCAACCUGGGAACUGCAUUUCGAACUGGCAAACUAGAGUGUGAUAGAGGGUGGUAGAAUUUCAGGUGUAGCGGUGAAAUGCGUAGAGAUCUGAAGGAAUACCGAUGGCGAAGGCAGCCACCUGGGUCAACACUGACGCUCAUGUACGAAAGCGUGGGGAGCAAACGGGAUUAGAUACCCCGGUAGUCCACGCCGUAAACGAUGUCUACUAGGAGUUCGGUCUUUCGGGACUGUCUUCCAAAGCUAACGCAUUAAGUAGACCGCCUGGGGAGUACGGCCGCAAGGUUAAAACUCAAAUGAAUUGACGGGGGCCCGCACAAGCGGUGGAGCAUGUGGUUUAAUUCGAUGCAACGCGAAGAACCUUACCUACACUUGACAUCCAGAGAACUUACUAGAGAUAGUUUGGUGCCUUCGGGAACUCUGAGACAGGUGCUGCAUGGCUGUCGUCAGCUCGUGUUGUGAGAUGUUGGGUUAAGUCCCGCAACGAGCGCAACCCCUAUCCUUAGUUGCCAGCGAUUCGGUCGGGAACUCUAAGGAGACUGCCGGUGAUAAACCGGAGGAAGGUGGGGACGACGUCAAGUCAUCAUGGCCCUUACGUGUAGGGCUACACACGUGCUACAAUGGCGCAUACAGAGUGCUGCGAACUCGCGAGAGUAAGCGAAUCACUUAAAGUGCGUCGUAGUCCGGAUUGGAGUCUGCAACUCGACUCCAUGAAGUCGGAAUCGCUAGUAAUCGCGAAUCAGAAUGUCGCGGUGAAUACGUUCCCGGGCCUUGUACACACCGCCCGUCACACCAUGGGAGUGGGUUGCUCCAGAAGUAGGUAGCUUAACCUUAGGGAGGGCGCUUACCACGGAGUGAUUCAUGACUGGGGUGAAGUCGUAACAAGGUAGCCCUAGGGGAACCUGGGGCUG